UACGGGGGGGGCAAGCGUUGUUCGGAAUUACUGGGCGUAAAGGGCUCGUAGGCGGUCAACUAAGUCGGAUGUGAAAUCCCCAGGCUUAACCUGGGAACUGCAUCCGAUACUGGAUGGCUUGAAUCCGGGAGAGGGAUGCAGAAUUCCAGGUGUAGCGGUGAAAUGCGUAGAUAUCAGGAGGAACACCGGUGGCGAAGGCGGGUCUCUGGGCCGAUACUGACGCUGAGGAGCGAAAGCGUGGGGAGCGAACAGG
rnacentral:rRNA from 1 species